GACGAACGCUGGCGGCGUGCUUAACACAUGCAAGUCGAACGGAAAGGCCCUGCUUGCAGGGUACUCGAGUGGCGAACGGGUGAGUAACACGUGGGUGAUCUGCCCUGCACUUCGGGAUAAGCCUGGGAAACUGGGUCUAAUACCGGAUAGGAGCCAUUUUUAGUGUGAUGGUUGGAAAGUUUUUUCGGUGUAGGUUGAGCUCGCGGCCUAUCAGCUUGUUGGUGGGGUAAUGGCCUACCAAGGCGGCGACGGGUAGCCGGCCUGAGAGGGUGGACGGCCACAUUGGGACUGAGAUACGGCCCAGACUCCUACGGGAGGCAGCAGUGGGGAAUAUUGCACAAUGGGCGCAAGCCUGAUGCAGCGACGCCGCGUGGGGGAUGACGGCCUUCGGGUUGUAAACUCCUUUCGCUAGGGACGAAGCUUUUUGUGACGGUACCUAGAUAAGAAGCACCGGCUAACUACGU
rnacentral:rRNA from 1 species